rnacentral:rRNA from 1 species
GUGUCAGCCGCCGCGGUAAGACGAACCGUGCGAACGUUAUUCGGAAUCACUGGGCUUAAAGCGCGUGUAGGCGGGCCGGCGCGUCGGUCGCUGAAAGCCCCCGGCUCAACCGGGGAAGCGGCGCCGAUACGGCCGGCCUGGAGGGGGGUAGGGGGACCUGGAACUUCCGGUGGAGCGGUGAAAUGCGUUGAGAUCGGAAGGAACGCCCGUGGCGAAAGCGAGGUCCUGGACCCUUUCUGACGCUGAGACGCGAAAGCCAGGGGAGCGAACGGGAUUAGAUACCCCUGUAGUCC